GCCUUUGUGGCGUAGUGGUAGCGCGUCGCACUUGUACCAUCUUUAUGCGUCUUCAUGCGAAGGUCACUAGUUCAAUCCUGGUCGGAGGCA